rnacentral:rRNA from 1 species
GACGAACGCUGGCGGCGUGCUUAACACAUGCAAGUCGAACGGAAAGGCCCUGCUUUUGUUGGGUGCUCGAGUGGCGAACGGGUGAGUAACACGUGAGUAACCUGCCCUUGACUUUGGGAUAACUUCAGGAAACUGGGGCUAAUACCGGAUAGGAGCUCCUGCUGCAUGGUGGGGGUUGGAAAGUUUCGGCGGUUGGGGAUGGACUCGCGGCUUAUCAGCUUGUUGGUGGGGUAGUGGCUUACCAAGGGUUUGACGGGUAGCCGGCCUGAGAGGGUGACCGGCCACAUUGGGACUGAGAUACGGCCCAGAAUCCUACGGGAGGCAGAAGUGGGGAAUAUUGCACAAUGGGCGGAAGCCUGAUGCAGCAACGCCGCGUGCGGGAUGACGGCCUUCGGGUGGUAAACCGCUUUCGCCUGUGACGAAGCGUGAGUGACGGUAAUGGGUAAAGAAGCACCGGCUAACUACGUG